rnacentral:rRNA from 1 species
UACAGAGGGUGCGAGCGUUGUCCGGAAUUACUGGGCGUAAAGCGUGCGUAGCCGGUUACGUAAGUCGGGUGUGAAAGCCCCGGGCUCAACCUGGGAAUUGCAUUCGAGACUGCGCAGCUAGGGUGCGGAAGAGGGAAGCGGAAUUUCCGGUGUAGCGGUGAAAUGCGUAGAUAUCGGAAGGAACAUCAGUGGCGAAAGCGGCUUCCUGGGCCAGCACCGACGUUCAGGCACGAAAGCGUGGGGAGCAAACAGG